CCUAGCCGUAAACGAUGGACACUAGGUGUGGGGACAUGUAUGUUUCCGUGCCGCAGCUAACGCAUUAAGUGUCCCGCCUGGGGAGUACGGUCGCAAGACUAAAACUCAAAGGAAUUGACGGGGGCCCGCACAAGCAGCGGAGCAUGUGGCUUAAUUCGAAGCAACGCGAAGAACCUUACCAGGGCUUGACAUAUAAGUGAGCUCGUGGAAACACGAGGGCCGAAAGGAGCUUAUACAGGUGGUGCAUGGCUGU
rnacentral:rRNA from 1 species